rnacentral:rRNA from 1 species
CGCGGCCUAUCAGCUUGUUGGUGGGGUAAUGGCCUACCAAGGCGACGACGGGUAGCCGGCCUGAGAGGGCGAACGGCCACACUGGGACUGAGACACGGCCCAGACUCCUACGGGAGGCAGCAGUGGGGAAUAUUGCACAAUGGGCGAAAGCCUGAUGCAGCAACGCCGCGUGAGGGAUGACGGCCUUCGGGUUGUAAACCUCUUUCAGCAGGGAAGAAGCGCAAGUGACGGUACCUGCAGAAGAAGCGCCGGCUAACUACGUGCCAGCAGCCGCGGUAAUACGUAGGGCGCAAGCGUUGUCCGGAAUUAUUGGGCGUAAAGAGCUCGUAGGCGGUCUGUCGCGUCUGGUGUGAAAUCCCGAGGCUCAACCUCGGGCUUGCAUCGGGUACGGGCAGACUAGAGUGCGGUAGGGGAGACUGGAAUUCCUGGUGUAGCGGUGGAAUGCGCAGAUAUCAGGAGGAACACCGAUGGCGAAGGCAGGUCUCUGGGCCGCAACUGACGCUGAGGAGCGAAAGCAUGGGGAGCGAACAGGAUUAGAUACCCUGGUAGUCCAUGCCGUAAACGUUGGGCACUAGGUGUGGGGCUCAUUCCACGAGUUCCGUGUCGCAGCUAACGCAUUAAGUGCCCCGCCUGGGGAGUACGGA